AGAGUUUCAACUGUUCUGGAGGUUGGAAGUCUAAGGUCACCAUGGUGCCAGCAUAGUUGGGUUUUGAUAACCCUCUGAUGGCUCUGAGGAAUGUUAACCUCUGGAGUAGCAGCUCUCAACAAAACAUGGUCCUGCUGAUGUUUCAUGCCUCUGUCGAAAAGGCAAGAACUGCAUUUUCCUUAGGAAAAAAACAAACAAACAAACAAACGCUAUUCUUUUGAAGUUUGACAAAUUACAAGACAACAAGAUUUAGAGAGAAUUGAGAAGACAUAAGAUAGUCUUAUGUCUUCAUAAGGUAUCCCUGAACCCCAUUAUUAUGCAGACCCCCGAAUUGGGUGAACUGUCUCUCAGCCAGAAUUUGGAGAGAUCGAGGAGGCACUGAUUGAUCUUCCCCACCAUGGAAAAUUACCACUCUGGGUAAGUCCACCAUUUUCACUGGUAAAUUCACCUCCUCCCCCCUACCCUCCCUCCUUUUGACAGGUAAACUGAGUCCCAAAGAGGCAUGACACCAUACCCUAGUCCAGGGGCACGCUCUAUAGUUCUUCUAUUGUUAAUAAAUACAUUCAACACUGAACUUCAGCAAAGAAAGGGGUGAAAAAUAGUGAGGAUGUGGAGGUAGGAAGCUAGGUUUACCAGUGACUUUGGGUAAGUUUAUUUAAUCUUUUUGAAUCUCAGAUUUCUUACCUAUAUUUGGGGUCAACAAAAUCUACCUUGAAAAGAUUGUAAUGAGAAUUAGAACUACAGUGUAAAGACUUUAGUAUUACUGGGGAAAGAGAAGGGACAUCAUAGGACAUCUUUACCAUUAUGUCCUGGAGUCAGGGAGCCUGUGUCCUAUCUCUGACUGUUUAAGUGGACGUUGCCAACUUUUGCUUUUUCAGGAGUAAAAGUGAAAUAAUACCUGUUUUUGUUUUUUCACAGUUACUAAUAGAACAAAAAAAGUAA